UACGUAGGGGGCAAGCGUUGUCCGGAUUUAUUGGGCGUAAAGCGCUCGCAGGUGGUUCGAUACGUCGCGUGUGAAAGCCCCCGGCUCAACUGGGGAGGGUCACGCGAUACUGAUCGACUCGAAGGCAGGAGAGGGUAGUGGAAUUCCCGGUGUAGUGGUGAAAUGCGUAGAUAUCGGGAGGAACACCAGUGGCGAAGGCGACUACCUGGCCCAUUCUUGACGCUGAGGCGCGAAAGCUAGGGGAGCGAACGGGG
rnacentral:rRNA from 1 species